rnacentral:rRNA from 1 species
UGGGGAAUUUUGGACAAUGGGGGAAACCCUGAUCCAGCCAUCCCGCGUGUGCGAUGAAGGCCUUCGGGUUGUAAAGCACUUUUGGCAGGAAAGAAACGUCGCGGGUUAAUACCCCGCGAAACUGACGGUACCUGCAGAAUAAGCACCGGCUAACUACGUGCCAGCAGCCGCGGUAAUACGUAGGGUGCAAGCGUUAAUCGGAAUUACUGGGCGUAAAGCGUGCGCAGGCGGUUCGGAAAGAAAGAUGUGAAAUCCCAGAGCUUAACUUUGGAACUGCAUUUUUAACUACCGGGCUAGAGUGUGUCCAGAGGGAGGUGGAAUUCCGCGUGUAGCAGUGAAAUGCGUAGAUAUGCGGAGGAACGACCGAUGGCGAAGGCAGCCUCCUGGGGAUAACGACUGACGCUCAUGCACGAAAGCGUGGGGAGCAAA